UACGAAGGGGGCUAGCGUUGCUCGGAAUUACUGGGCGUAAAGGGCGCGUAGGCGGAUCGUUAAGUCAGAGGUGAAAGCCCAGGGCUCAACCCUGGAAUUGCCUUUGAUACUGGCGAUCUUGAGUACGGGAGAGGUGUGUGGAACUCCGAGUGUAGAGGUGAAAUUCGUAGAUAUUCGGAAGAACACCAGUGGCGAAGGCGACGCACUGGCGCGUUACUGACGCUGAGGCGCGAAAGCGUGGGGAGCAAACAGG
rnacentral:rRNA from 1 species